rnacentral:rRNA from 1 species
GAUUAACGCUGGCGGCGUGCAUAACACAUGCAAGUCGAACGAUGAAACUUAAAUGAUUUCUUCGGAAUGAACUUAAGUGGAUUAGUGGCGGACGGGUGAGUAACGCGUGAGUAACCUGCCUUACACAAGGGGAUAGCCGUUGGAAACGACGAAUAAUACCCUAUGAAACUAUCACUUCGCAUGAAGCGAUAGUCAAAGUGUUAGCGGUGUAAGAUGGGCUUGCGUCUGAUUAGCUAGUUGGUGAGAAAAAAGCCCACCAAGGCAACGAUCAGUAGCCGGCUUGAGAGAGUGUACGGCCACAUUGGGACUGAGACACAGCCCAGACUCCUACGGGAGGCAGCAGUGGGGAAUCUUCCACAAUGGGUGCAAACCUGAUGGAGCAAUGCCGCGUGAGUGAAGAAGGUCUUCGGAUCGUAAAGCUCUGUUGUUAGAGAAGAACACGUGCUAGGUAACUACUAGCGCCUUGACGGUAUCUAACCAGAAAGUCACGGCUAACUACGUGCCAGCAGCCGCGGUAAUACGUAGGUGACAAGCGUUGUCCGGAUUUAUUGGGCGUAAAGGGAGCGCAGGCGGUCUGUUUAGUCUAAUGUGAAAGCCCACGGCUUAACCGUGGAACGGCAUUGGAAACUGACAGACUUGAAUGUAGAAGAGGAAAAUGGAAUUCCAAGUGUAGCGGUGGAAUGCGUAGAUAUUUGGAGGAACACCAGUGGCGAAGGCGAUUUUCUGGUCUAACAUUGACGCUGAGGUUCGAAAGCGUGGGGAGCGAACAGGAUUAGAUACCCUGGUAGUCCACGCCGUAAACGAUGAGUGCUAAGUGUUGGGGGCUUUCCGGCCCUCGGUGCUGGAGCUAACGUAUUAAGCACUCCGCCUGGGGAUUACGACCGCAAGGUUGAAACUCAAAAGAAUUGACGGGGACCCGCACAAGCGGUGGAGCAUGUGGUUUAAUUCGAAGCAACGCGAAGAACCUUACCAGCUCUUGACAUCUUCUGACAACUCUAGAGAUAGGGCGUUCCCUUCGGGGACAGAAUGACAGGUGGUGCAUGGUUGUCGUCAGCUCGUGUCGUGAGAUGUUGGGUUAAGUCCCGUAACGAGCGCAACCCUUGUUGUUAGUUGCCAGCAUUAAGUUGGGCACUUUAACGAGACUGCCGGUGAUAAACCGGAGGAAGGCGGGGAUGACGUCAAAUCAUCAUGCCCCUUAUGAGCUGGGCUACACACGUGCUACAAUGGAUGGUACAACGAGCAGCGAUCCCGCAAGGGCUAGCUAAUCUUUCAAAGCCAUUCUCAGUUCGGAUUGCACUCUGCAACUCGAGUGCAUGAAGUCGGAAUCGCUAGUAAUCGCGAAUCAGAAUGUCGCGGUGAAUCCGUUCCCGGGUCU